AAUCUUCGGCAAUGGGCGAAAGCCUGACCGAGCGACGCCGCGUGAAGGAUGAAGGCCCUCGGGUCGUAAACUUCUAAAAGAGGGACGAUAAUGACGGUACCUCUUGAAAAGCACCGGCUAACUCCGUGCCAGCAGCCGCGGUAAUACGGAGGGUGCAAGCGUUAUCCGGAAUCAUUGGGUUUAAAGGGUCCGUAGGCGGCCUUAUAAGUCAGCGGUGAAAGUUUUUGGCUUAACCAAAAAAUUGCCGUUGAUACUGUAGGGCUUGAAUUUUUGUGAAGUAACUAGAAUAUGUAGUGUAGCGGUGAAAUGCUUAGAUAUUACAUGGAAUACCAAUUGCGAAGGCAGGUUACUAACAAACGAUUGACGCUGAUGGACGAAAGCGUGGGUAGCGAACA
rnacentral:rRNA from 1 species